AGAGUUUGAUCCUGGCUCAGGACGAACGCUGGCGGCGUGCUUAACACAUGCAAGUCGAACGGGGUGUUUAUUUCGGUAAACACCAAGUGGCGAACGGGUGAGUAACGCGUAAGCAAUCUACCUUCAAGAUGGGGACAACACUUCGAAAGGGGUGCUAAUACCGAAUGAAUGUAAGAGUAUCGCAUGAGACACUUACUAAAGGAGGCCUCUGACAUAAGCUUCCGCUUGAAGAUGAGCUUGCGUCUGAUUAGCUAGUUGGUGAGGGUAAAGGCCCACCAAGGCGACGAUCAGUAGCCGGUCUGAGAGGAUGAACGGCCACAUUGGGACUGAGACACGGCCCAGACUCCUACGGGAGGCAGCAGUGGGGAAUCUUCCGCAAUGGGCGAAAGCCUGACGGAGCAACGCCGCGUGAACGAUGAAGGUCUUAGGAUCGUAAAGUUCUGUUGUUAGGGACGAAGGGUAAGAAUCAUAAUAAGGUUUUUAUUUGACGGUACCUAACGAGGAAGCCACGGCUAACUACGUGCCAGCAGCCGCGGUAAUACGUAGGCGGCAAGCGUUGUCCGGAAUUAUUGGGCGUAAAGGGAGCGCAGGCGGGAAACUAAGCGGAUCUUAAAAGUGCGGGGCUCAACCCCGUGAUGGGGUCCGAACUGGUUUUCUUGAGUGCAGGAGAGGAAAGCGGAAUUCCCAGUGUAGCGGUGAAAUGCGUAGAUAUUGGGAAGAACACCAGUGGCGAAGGCGGCUUUCUGGACUGUAACUGACGCUGAGGCUCGAAAGCUAGGGUAGCGAACGGGAUUAGAUACCCCGGUAGUCCUAGCCGUAAACGAUGGAUACUAGGUGUGGGAGGUAUCGACCCCUUCCGUGCCGGAGUUAACGCAAUAAGUAUCCCGCCUGGGGAGUACGG
rnacentral:rRNA from 1 species